rnacentral:rRNA from 1 species
GAUGAGCCUGCGUCCUAUCAGCUGGUUGGUGGGGUAACGGCCCACCAAGGCGACGACGGGUAGCUGGUCUGAGAGGAUGAUCAGCCACACUGCCACUGAAAUACGGGCCAGACUCCUACGGGAGGCAGCAGUGAGGAAUUUUGCGCAAUGGGAGCAAUCCUGACGCAGCAACGCCGCGUGAGUGAUGAAGGCCUUCGGGUCGUAAAGCUCUGUCAGGUGGGAAGAACGUCCAAGGGGUGAAUAAUCUUUUGGAGUGACGGUACCACCAGAGGAAGCACCGGCUAACUCCGUGCCAGCAGCCGCGGUAAUACGGAGGGUGCGAGCGUUAUUCGGAAUUACUGGGCGUAAAGCGCGUGCAGGCGGGAAGGCAAGUCUGAUGUGAAAGCCCCGGGCUUAACCUGGGAAGUGCAUUGGAAACUGCCUUUCUUGAGUACUGGAGAGGAAGGGGGAAUUCCCGGUGUAGAGGUGAAAUUCGUAGAGAUCGGGAGGAAUAUCAGUGGCGAAGGCGCCCUUCUGGACGGAUACUGACGCUGAGACGCGAAAGCGUGGGGAGCAAACAGGAUUAGAUACCCUGGUAGUCCACGCUGUAAA